rnacentral:rRNA from 1 species
UAGCAAUAUUAAUAAGGCUAGACCGGUGCACGGGUGCGUAACACGUAUGCAACCUACCUUAUACUGGGGAAUAACUUCGAGAAAUCGGCGCUAAUACCCCAUAACAUUGCGAAAUGGCAUCAUUUUGCAAUUAAAGCUCCGGCGGUAUAAGAUGGGCAUGCGUCCAAUUAGCUAGUUGGUGAGGUAACUGCUCACCAAGGCUACGAUUGGUAGGGGUUCUGAGAGGAUGAUCCCCCACACUGGUACUGAGACACGGACCAGACUCCUACGGGAGGCAGCAGUGAGGAAUAUUGCGCAAUGGACGAAAGUCUGACGCAGCCAUGCCGCGUGCAGGAUGACGGCCCUAUGGGUUGUAAACUGCUUUUGUAUGGGAAUAAACCCUUCUACGUGUAGAAGGCUGAAGGUACCAUAAGAAUAAGCACCGGCUAACUCCGUGCCAGCAGCCGCGGUAAUACGGAGGGUGCAAGCGUUAUCCGGAUUUAUUGGGUUUAAAGGGUCCGU